UGUUUGCAACGAUCCAGUUUGUGCCUUUUUUGCGUCAUCUCUUUCUUUCGUGACCUAAUGUGUUUCACCAUGCAUAGCUACCCGACUUCUCCAUUUCUAUUUUUUCUAUAGUUUGGUUUAAGUAAUCUACCUUGGUUUGUUUUAGGUUAUUUAAUUUGUAGUGUUUCUUUUUAUUUUGUUGUUGGUACUUUGAAAAGUUUUUCAUUGACGACUUCCUAC
rnacentral:lncRNA from 1 species